ensembl:lncRNA
GGAAAAUGCUUACAGCAGCCUCUGUUUGAGGGCUCAUGGAGAGGUAGACUCAGCGUGUAAAAAUGUUAGCAGUCUGGUUGACAUUGCAGCUCUGGCAGGAGCUUCACACAGACUGAAAAUAGCAGCUGGGGAGGUGGGAGGUCACUGGAGCCCCUGCUCUUUGCACACCAGGAGGAGUGACCCAGCGAGGCCGGGACUUGUAUGGGGGCACCAAGCUGCCAGGGCAGGGUGUGACUCUUUGGGAGAGCCACAGAGCGCCGGUGGGUGUGAGCUCUGUGUAUGUGGCUCAGGGAGGAGGAUCCUCCUGGGGGUAAAGAUCAAGUAGCUGAGGGAAAAUGCCUCUUCUGUAGGGCCUCUGCAGUGGCUCUCCCUGAGGCUCUCACAGCUCAGGCUUCAUGGGCUGAGGAAGACUUCUGUCCGGUGCAACGGCAUGAGGAGGUGCCCCUCCAGUGGUGCGGGCAGGUCGCACUGUGGCAGGUACAGGGCGUCAGCACAGCUGGACGCAAUGCUGGCCAUCAGCACACCCGUGUCAGCAGCAGGAGGUAGACAUGAAAUGCCUGUAACGGCCUUUGAAAGCGUGGCAAAGACAUCACAGCAUCUCUGAGAACAGACGGUUAUGAACCCCUGGCUUUUGUGCUGAUAAUGAAACCACAUUUCCUACCGGGCGCUGGAAGAAACAGCCUUUGUGAAUUGUGAGGCUGUGAACACUGGGUCACUGCAAGAUGAAUUAAGAGAUGUACAACCAGUGGUUCCAGGCCAAAGUGUCCCCUUGCUGUCCAUUCUUGGCUGAAGGACACUUCUCACGACUAUCACUGAAGAACUGCAAAAGGAGCCAGGUGCCACAGAUCACGUUCAAAUGGUUCCUUCAGCUGCUGCUCCCGGGUGGAAGAAGCAGUGCCUGGAGUCGUACGCCCACUCCUCUUUUCAUGAAGCUGCUCUGCUGACAGACCUGUGCACACACUGCACGUCAGGAAAUUGUCAGGACCUUGCACAAAGGCCUUCCUUGCUGCCCUGACCACCAGCAGGCUGUACCUCGGGCCUGCCUCAGCCACUGCUGUGGCUGGUUACCAAUGCAGGACCUGCUCUGCUCCUCUGGCAUGGUGGGACUGCACCUUCAGGAGGUUUGAGGCUCAAACUGAACAAAGCAGAUGUGAAUUCUCCAUUAUUUUGGAGCGCAGACAUCUAUAAAUGUCUCAGAUCCUUCACUGGACGGGACCAGGCUGACCUGGAUGCGUGAGCUCCUGGCUGAGCUUCUUUGGACUGCGCACCAUGAGGGUCCUCUUCCAACAAAUGGUCUUAGCAUGUAUGAAGCAAAUAAAAAAC